AUACACUCAGUCUUCAGGAGGAGGCAUCCCCUCUGGGUGCAGAACUUCCGCUGUGGCUGCUUGCUCAGGAUAAACUGGUGGGACCAUGACUCAUUUUGUCACUGGGACCACAGGAGGAGGGGCCAGAAGACAAUGAAGUGUGCGGUGAGCACUCUCACAUUUCAUUAGAUGCACUGUCUCUGAACCAGCUUACUCAGAACUUCAGGAUGGCGGUGUGCAGUUACCAACUGUUAAGUCAAAGAUUCUGGACUGUUUAGGCUGUGCCUCGGGAAAUCAUUGCCUCUAUGAAGUUGUCCAAGGCGAGCUUGAUAAGCCUCUGAAGGCACAGAAGAACUGUUUGGAGAGGGGCCUAUACAUCUCGAUCUACAGCUACAGCGUCACAUACUACCCCUCAGAAACGGACCUUUUAAUGAUUUCAUCCUGUCAAAAAUCGCAUAUUUCAAAACAUUAGAAAGUUGACUUGCACAAAUAUAAAACAAGCAUGGAUCAGGAUGCUUCACCGUGUGCUCCAUAAGCUACUCAUCUGAUGUUUCAUAGGAAGCAGAAGAAAUUCCCAGCAAAGUGACCUGUGUUGCAAGACUCAAAAGAGGGAGAGAGGGAGUUGGCUCAGCUGGUGAAGAGCUUGAUGGACAUGAAGACCUGAGCUUGGAUCUCCCAACAUCUUUGUGAAAGGACGGGCACAGCCCCUGAAUCUCCAGAGCUGUGACAAUGGAAGCAAUGGAUCCUCAGAGCUUGCUGGCCAGCCAACCUGCUUGAGUUCAGCUCUAGAUUCUCUGUGACCCUGACUCAAAAACUAAGGCAUGGAGUGACUGAAGAAGAGAUCUGAUGUCAACCACUUGUUCUUAUUUACACACACACCACACACACACACACACUCUUAAAUAAAAAUUAAAUUAUUUGUUGAAAAUGAUAAAAAGAUGAACACCAUACAGUUAGAAGUGGCAGCUACCAAGGGACUUGUCUUGUGGUGCUCUUUUAUCAACAGUUUCUGAUUCCUUUGACAUAGCAAGUGGCAGUCCUGGGAGCCGGUUUCCAGUCACAAAUCCCAGUUCCCUUUCUCCCUGUUUUGUUCAGGUUCUGCCACUGUCUUGAGUAUGCUCUUUUGUGCUUACUAAAGCUGUGCUGUGUGGAAGAGUCAUCUGUUUGUUCCUUGUUCUUCAGUGGGCUGAGUGAUGGACCCCUCCCUCUUUACAGAUAAUAGAUCUGUGAGAAAUCUCACACCACUGGGACCUUAUUUGGGCUUAGAGAUUUGCUGGUGUAGUUGAGAGGCUUGGGAGAAGAACACAAUGGUUAAUUUGGUUGUUGACUGUUAGGGUCUGAAAUCACUUAGGAGAUAAACUUCUGGGUGUAUCUUUGAGGAAGAUUCUAGAUAGAGUUACUUGGGAUUAGAAGACUCAGUCUGACUGUGGAUUGUGGAGAAUUUUAGGACACAUUGCUAAAAAUGUCUCCUGGGAACCCAGUCUUCCUCUUAAAACAUGAAUGAAAAUCUCUUUCUUAGGGUUGGCUGGCCAGCUCUUCACACAUUUCCUUGUACAUCAUUCUGCCGUUCGUGAGCAUGGGAGCUUGCACUCACUGAUCUCCAGUACCUGGGCCACCUUCGUGUCUCAGUUGCUUAUUUUCUUGAGCAGUCUAGGGUUGUGUAAUCCUGAGAGUCUUGAGGCCGUUAGAUUAUUGCUGGUAGAGAAGAGGCCACCAAGGGGCAGGAGACACAAGGAACCAUUCGUGUGGCAGGUGGUGAUCACAGAGAAAAAGCAGAGCUAAAGGUGGAAGAUUUGAGAUAUGGAACCUAGUAAUUAUAGAUUUUUUGCACAAAUUAUGAGACUCUGCUUCUUUUUUAUUUUUUGAAAGAUAGUCUCAUUACGUAGCUCCUUCCUAUGCAGACCAGGCUGGCCUUGGACGCAGAGAUUGGCCUGAUUCUGCUGGGACUAAGGCCACUAAACCUGGCGACAGUGAAAACUUUGUGCAUAAAAUCUAAGGUUUCUCCCUUUGGUAUCCUUGAUUUCCUUCUACACAGGAACGAUAUUUAGCAAGCACACAACACUCACAAUAUACUAAAUACAGUUCUAUGUGUUAUGUAAAUAACUUGCUUAGUUUCCGGGCAAACCUAUAAGGGGUAUUGUCACUGUCCACAUCGUACU
ensembl:lincRNA D6Ertd474e DNA segment, Chr 6, ERATO Doi 474, expressed